UGGGGAAUAUUGCACAAUGGGCGCAAGCCUGAUGCAGCCAUGCCGCGUGUGUGAAGAAGGCCUUCGGGUUGUAAAGCACUUUCAGCGGGGAGGAAGGCGGUGAGGUUAAUAACCCCACCGAUUGACGUUACCCGCAGAAGAAGCACCGGCUAACUCCGUGCCAGCAGCCGCGGUAAUACGGAGGGUGCAAGCGUUAAUCGGAAUUACUGGGCGUAAAGCGCACGCAGGCGGUCUGUCAAGUCGGAUGUGAAAUCCCCGGGCUCAACCUGGGAACUGCAUUUGAAACUGGCAGGCUAGAGUCUUGGAGAGGGGGGUAGAAUUCCGGGUGUAGCGGUGAAAUGCGUAGAGAUCUGGAGGAAUACCGGUGGCGAAGGCGGCCCCCUGGACAAAGACUGACGCUCAGGUGCGAAAGCGUGGGGAGCAAACAGG
rnacentral:rRNA from 1 species